AUUGAACGCUGGCGGCAGGCCUAACACAUGCAAGUCGAACGAGUGGCGGACGGGUGAGUAAUGUCUGGGCAACUGCCCGAUGGAGGGGGAUAACUACUGGAAACGGUAGCUACUACCGCAUACCAUCGGAUGUGCCCAGAUGGGAUUAGCUAGUAGGUGGGGUAACGGCUCACCUAGGCGACGAUCCCUAGCUGGUCUGAGAGGAUGACCAGACACACUGGGACUGAGACACGGUCCAGACUCCUACGGGAGGCAGCAGUGGGGAAUAUUGCACAAUGGGCGAAAGCCUGAUGCAGCCAUGCCGCGUGUAUGAAGAAGGGCUUCGGGUUGUAAAGUACUUUCAGCGGAGAGGCGUUACCAGCAGAAGAAGCAACGGCUAACUCCGUGCCAGCAGCCGCGGUAAUAC
rnacentral:rRNA from 1 species